rnacentral:rRNA from 1 species
UACGGGGGGGGCAAGCGUUGUUCGGAAUUACUGGGCGUAAAGGGCUCGUAGGCGGCCAACUAAGUCGGAUGUGAAAUCCCCAGGCUCAACUUGGGAACUGCAUCCGAUACUGGAUGGCUUGAAUUCGGGGAGAGGGAUGCAGAAUUCCAGGUGUAGCGGUGAAAUGCGUAGAUAUCUGGAGGAAUACCGGUGGCGAAGGCGGCAUCCUGGACCGACAUUGACGCUGAGGAGCGAAAAGCUAGGGGAGCAAACGGGG